rnacentral:rRNA from 1 species
UACAGAGGUCUCAAGCGUUGUCCGGAUUUAUUGGGCGUAAAGAGCGUGUAGGCGGCCAGGUAGGUCCGUUGUGAAAACUCGAGGCUCAACCUCGAGACGUCGGCGGAAACCAUCUGGCUAGAGUCCGGAAGAGGCGAGUGGAAUUCCUGGUGUAGCGGUGAAAUGCGCAGAUAUCAGGAGAACACCCUAGUGCGAAGGCAGCUCGCUGGACGGUAACUGGACGCUGAGACGCGAAAGCGUGGGGAGCGAAACAGG